rnacentral:rRNA from 1 species
UACAGAGGAGCCAAGCGUUGUCCGGAUUGACUGGGCGUAAAGCGCACGCAGGCGGAUGCGCGCGUGGGGUGUGAAAUCUGGCCGCUUAACGGCCAGGCGCCAUCCCAUACGGCGCGUCUGGAGUGAUGCAGAGGUCGGUGGAAUUGCCGGUGUAGUGGUGAAAUGCGUAGAGAUCCGGAAGAACACCGGUGGCGAAGGCGGUCUGCUGGGCAGUUACUGACACUGAGGCGCGACAGCGUGGGGAGCAAACGGG